UACAGAGGUCCCAAGCGUUGUUCGGAUUCACUGGGCGUAAAGGGCGCGUAGGCGGCCCGCUAAGUCGAACGUGAAAUCCCCGAGCUCAACUCGGGAACUGCGUCCGAUACUGGUGGGCUUGAAUCCGGGAGAGGGAUGCGGAAUUCCAGGUGUAGCGGUGAAAUGCGUAGAUAUCUGGAGGAACACCGGUGGCGAAGGCGGCAUCCUGGACCGGCAUUGACGCUGAGACGCGAAAGCGUGGGGAGCAAACAGG
rnacentral:rRNA from 1 species